CAUAGCGACUAUCGUGGCAUAUCAAUAAGCGGAGGAAAAGAAACUAACAAGGAUUCCCUUAGUAACGGCGAGUGAAGCGGGAAGAGCUCAAAUUUGAAAUCUUCAAGGUUUGACCUUGACGAAUUGUAGUUUAAAGAAGUGUUUUCGGUUAGAGGAGUAGUAAAAGUUCUUUGGAAUAGGACAUCAUAGAGGGUGAGAAUCCCGUAUUUGACUAUUCUUUCUAGCUUUGUGAUACACUUUCAAAGAGUCGGAUUGUUUGGGAAUGCAGUCCAAAAUGGGUGGUAAAUUUCAUCUAAAGCUAAAUAUUGGCGAGAGACCGAUAGCGAACAAGUACCGUGAGGGAAAGAUGAAAAGAACUUUGAAAAGAGAGUUAAACAGUACGUGAAAUUGUCAAAAGGGAAGCGUUUGACACCAGUGUUGUUUUUCCGAAAAUCAAUUAAAAAUUGAUUCAUGCCAGGUUGUAUUGACCUUAUCAGCUUGCAAUUUGGUUUUGGGUCUCUUUUUGAUGCACUUUUCGGUUAACAAGUCAACAUCAAUUUCCUUUGCUGUAAAAAGGUAAGAGGAAGGUGGCUUCAAUUUCGGUUGAAGUGUUUAUAGCCUUUUAUCUCUGCAGUCGGGGAGAUUGAGGUCUGCAGCGUAGAUCCUUCGGGGCUAGAUACAUUUGUGCUAAGCUAUAGCCUUUCAUAGACAACUUGUUGACUAUGAUCAGUCAUGUAGCUUACUCGCUUAUGCUAUUUUACCUACGCUUAGGAUGUUGAUAUGCAUGACUGAUAU
rnacentral:rRNA from 1 species